UGUUAACAGUAGUCCAGUUAGGGCUAGAUAUUGACAUGUUAACAGUUGUCCAGUUAGGGCUAGAUAAUGACAUGUUAACAGUAGUCCAGUUAGGGCUAGAUAAUGACAUGUUAACAGUAGUCCAGUUAGGACUAGAUAAUGACAUGUUAACAGUAGUCCAGUUAGGGCUAGAUAAUGACAUGUUAACAGUAGUCCAGUUAGGGCUAGAUAAUGAUCUCUGUUAACAGUAGUCCAGUUAGGGCUAGAUAAUGACAUGUUAACAGUAGUCCAGUUAGGGCUAGAUAAUGACAUGUUAACAGUAGUCCAGUUAGGGCUAGAUAAUGACAUGUUAACAGUAGUCCAGUUAGGCCUAGAUAAUGACAUGUUUACAGUAGUCCAGUUAGGGCUAGAUAAUGAUCUCUGUUAACAGUAAUCCAGUUAGGGCUAGAUAAUGGCAUGUUAACAGUAGUCCAGUUAGGGCAAGAUAAUGACAUGUUAACAGUUGUCCAGUUAGGGCUAGAUAAUGGCGUGUUAACAGUAGUCCAGUUAGGGCUAGAUAAUGACAUGUUAACAGUAGUCCAGUUAGGGCUAGAUAAUGAUCUCUGUUAACAGUAGUCCAGUUAGGGCUAGAUAAUGACAUGUUAACAGUAGUCCAGUUAGGGCUAGAUAAUGAUCUCUGUUAACAGUAGUCCAGUUAGGGCUAGAUAAUGACAUGUUGACAGUAGUCCAGUUAGGGCUAGAUAAUUACAUGUUAACAGUUGUCCAGUUAGGGCUAGAUAAUGACAUGUUAACAGUAGUCCAGUUAGGGCUAGAUAAUGAUCUCUGUUAACAGUAGUCCAGUUAGGGCUAGAUAAUGACAUGUUAACAGUAGUCCAGUUAGGGCUAGAUAAUGACAUGUUAACAGUAGUCCAGUUAGGGCUAGAUAAUGACAUGUUAACAGUAGUCCAGUUAGGGCUAGAUAAUGACAUGUUAACAGUAGUACAGUUAGGGCUAGAUAAUGACAUGUUAACAGUAGUCCAGUUAGGGCUAGAUAAUGACAUGUUAACAGUAGUCCAGUUAGGGCUAGAUAAUGACAUGUUAACAGUAGUACAGUUAGGGCUAGAUAAUGACAUGUUAACAGUAGUCCAGUUAGGGCUAGAUAAUGACAUGUUAACAGUAGUCCAGUUAGGGCUAGAUAAUGACAUGUUAACAGUAUUCCCGUUAGGACCUGAUAAUGACCUGUUAACAAUAGUUUCUCCUGAUGGCCAGUAGAACAGCGGGGUGUCACUGCAACGGCUCCACAGUUAUGGCCAGUUUUCCCGAACAGAAAUUAAGCCUAUUCCUGGAUGAAAAAAAAAACACUUUCAAUUAAGAUUCUCAAAUGAGAUUGGUGUUUGAUACAGGACUAGGCUUAAUCUGUGUACCAGGAUAGCGUCUCUUACAGCAUAUCUCACAGUUAGUGCUGCGUUUCAAAAGCCAGAUGAGUUUCUAAUCAAAAAGGACUACCAGAUGCACACAGCCCAGCAACAGACCAGGCUCGCCAGCUUAAAAGUGACACCAACCUACCAAAUAAACAGUGUUAUUAUUAUUAUUUAGAAAUCCAGUUCUCCGAACUAGCCAAGUGUUUAAUAAUGACAUUAUUCUGUUUUAUUAUCUAGUUUAAUAUGUUGGUGCCUCACAGACACUGAAAGACAAGAUCCUCUCUCUCUGGGGAAGUGCCUUGACAUCAGAUCCUGUUGUGACGUCAUCUCUCCACCAGGCAAUAGUGUUCACCACGUCUGCAUCGGGAAUGGUACCCUAGUGUACUAUAAAGGGAACAGGGUGCUAAUGGGCCCUGAUCUAAAGUAGUGCACUAUAUAGGGAACAUGGUGCUGGGGAGACCAGUCCUUCUAAUUUGCUGAAGGACUGCAUGAGGUUUGUGUUUAUUCAUUCUAGACGUGACCAAACAAACCGGGUAUCGAACCAGAGUCAUUUGAGUGCCUCAAGACCACAUUCGUCCACAGAGCUAAAGGCUUGAUAGGCCCCAGCUUUGGAUCUUACACUAGUCCUCAGGUUAGGUUCAUCAAUCAUCACGAUGGACGGGGGAGGAAAAACACUAGUCCUCAGGUUAGGUUCAUCUAUCAUCAUGAGUGGGGGAGGAAAAACACUAGUCCUCAGGUUAGGUUCAUCUAUCAUCAUGAGUGGGGGAGGAAAAACACUAGUCCUCAGGUUAGGUUCAUCUAUCAUCAUGAGUGGGGAAGGAAAAACACUAGUCCUCAGGUUAGGUUCAUCUAUCAUGACGAUGGACGGGGGAGGAAAAACACUAGUCCUCAGGUUAUGUUCAUCUAUCAUGGAGGGAUAAGGAAUCACAUUUCUUAAUGAAUCAGAGAAGGACAGGUUGACUCUCUUUGAUGAGCUAGACCUUUAUGAGGCAAGGAUGGAGAGGUUGACUGUGUCCCGAUUCUCUACCCUUCUUCCGAAGUGCACAGGUGCAAACGGUCAUGGAUUUCACAAUGGUGGAAACUCCCUCUAGCCUUUAAAUCCACGAUGUGGAGUGUGCAAGUGCAUCCUUGGAGGAUCGGGAUGUAUCCGUGUGCAGUCCUCGGUCUGCUAUCAUGCUUCAUGGUGGUACAGUACUUCGAAUUGUCCUACAACAGCGUCUCAACCUUCUUCUUGGGAGACCAGACAGUCCACAUCUUUGUUCCAGCCCUAUACUAACACACCUGAUUACCUCACCGCCAAACCCUUGGUCAGCUGACCUAGGUGUCAAAUAGGGCAGAGCUAGAACUAAUACUUGCAGCCUGGUGUUUCCCCAGGAGGGUUGGGAAAUCAUGUGUCCGAAUGGCACUCUCUAGCCCCUAUAUAGGGCACUAUCUUUGACCUGAGCCCUAUAGGCCCUGGUCAAAAGUAGAGCACUAUUGGGAAUAGGGUACCAUUUGGGACGAGCUGAUUAAUUGAACAUAGAUCAACUUCAAAAUGCAAAGGUUAAGGUUUGGAGAGCCACUGCUAUACAGGUUAAUUUUUUUUCUGUUCAUAAUCAACUGUGCUCUUUUGUGGUACGUUUACUAACUAGGGGAUACCUUUUAAUCAAAUGUGAAUGUUUACAGUGUAUAUGGUUGAGUUUUUUUCUGUUAUAUUCCAAGAAAAGGAUGUGGGCAUUUAAAGUCUUUAAGAUAAAAUAAAGAUAAAAUAACGCACAAUCAUUGUACUGGGUGGUAAUGUAUUGUUUAAAACAGGCUGGAGGAGAGUGCCUCCUUCCUGGACUGUUUGUUCUUCUUUGGGUGAUCCGGUGUGUUUGUUGCAGUGUUGUGUGUAGGAGAGGACAGAGCCCCCACCUCUCUUCAUGCCUUGAAGUGUCUGCACCUGGACACCACAAAGGAAGAGGCUCUAUUGUGUCCUACUGGCUCAACCAAUCACAGCCCUCCAAGCAGUUAUCUGGCCUCAUCCAUAUGCGGGGAUAUUAACAUUCAUCAGACCAGACUCAAUGACACAACAUCAAUGGACAGGAACAUCGACUAUAUAUAUUACAGAGUAUCAAUGAAGGGGAACAGAAAUGAUAUAUACUGAACAAAAAUAUAAACACAACAUGUAAAGUCUUGGUCCCAUAUUUCAUGAGUUGAAAUAAACGAUCCCAG
ensembl:lncRNA